rnacentral:rRNA from 1 species
CCCAAAAGAUCGAACGGGGAGAUUCAUCGAUCAGCGAUACCGGCGCUUGUGCGGUUCGUGAUGCCGGAGGCCUCGGUCUCUCGGCACACGUCCGUGUGGUUCCAUGCCGGGUUCGUCGUCGGCGUGCACUUCUCCCCUAGUAGGACGUCGCGACCCGUUGGGUGUCGGUCUACGGCCCGGGUGGAUGCCUGUCAUGUGACUUGCUUAACGGCGGUCAUGCGGCAGACCCCCGGUUGUCUGACCAGCUGCCCGGCGGUACUCGCACGGUAUCGAGUCGCAAAACAUUUGAACUGCGUUCGGCCCGCCGCAAGCGAGGCCAGUGAUCCCGGAUGUACGGACUUUGCGCCGUCACCGGGCCUGGCCAGCUGUUGGUCGGCGGUGCCCUGGGACUGACUCGUUAUACGAUACCGGUCGGCGACGCUACUGCUUUGGGUACUUUCAGGACCCGUCUUGAAACACGGACCAAGGAGUCUAACAUGUGCGCGAGUCAUUGGGAAAUAAUAAACCUAAAGGCGGAAUGAAAGUGAAGAUCGGCCCUGCGCCGAUCGAGGGAGGAUGGACCGCGUCACGAUGCGGUCCCGCACUCCCGGGGCGUCUCGUUCUCAUUGCGAGAAGAGGCGCACCCAGAGCGUACACGUUGGGACCCGAAAGAUGGU